rnacentral:siRNA from 1 species
UUCGUGGCAAUAUUGCUCUGC